ACGUGUAGCAUGAAUGCGUAGAGAUGUGGAGGAAUACCGAGGCGAAGGCAGCCCCUUGGGACGUGACUGACGCUCAUGCACGAUAGCGUGGGGAGCAAACAGGAUUAGAUACCAUGGUUGUCCACGCCCUAAACGAUGUCACCUAGUCGUGGGGGAUUCAACUAGUCGAGAAGAUGUAGCUAAUACCGUCAAGUUGACCUGCAUGGGUGAGAAGCGGGGGACAAGAUUAAAACUCAAAGCGAGUNGACGCGGGAUCCCGCACAAUGUCGGUGGAUGAUGUGGAUUAGUUCGAUGCAACGGCGAAAAACCUUACCUACCCUGUGACAUGCCACUAUACCGAAGCAGAGAUGACAGAUANGUGCCCCGAAAGGGAAAGUGGACGACAGGUGCUGGCAUGGCUGUUGUCAGCUSCUGUCGCUCGCAGAUCGAUUGGGUUAAGUCGCGCAACGAGCGCUAACCCUUGUCNCUAGCUUGCUACGCAAGAGCACUCUAGAGAGACUGCCGGUGACAAACCGGAGGAAGGUGGGGAUGACGUCAAGUCCUCAUGGCCCUUAUGGGUAGGGCUUCACACGUCAUACAAUGGUGCGUACAGAGGGUUGCCAACCCGCGAGGGGGAGCUAAUCCCAGAAAACGCAUCGUAGUCCGGAUCGUAGUCUGCAACUCGACUACGUGAAGCUGGAAUCGCUUUAAUCGCGGAUCAGCAUGCCGCGGUGAAUACGUUCCCGGGUCUUGUACACACCUCCCUU
rnacentral:rRNA from 1 species